UCUUCACAAGGCAGCAGCGGGAAUGCCAGACGGUUAUAAAACCAUCAGAUCUCAUGAGAACUCACUCACUAUCACGAGAACAGCACGGAGGAAACCACCCCCAUGAUUCAAUUGCCUCCACCUGGUUCCUCCCUCAACACCUGAAAAUUAUGGGGAUUACAAUUCAAGGUGAUGCAAGAUAUAGUAAGUUGUUUUUCACUUUGAAGUGGACGUUUCAGCAUGCUGCAGACUAUUGAACUUUCAGAAACUUCACUAAGGUGGCAGGCCCCUGAAUUUCUGCAGGGUUUCACUCCAUCAUUCGCAAAUGUAUCAUGAAAGCAUCUGAAGUAUUUGCUACUUCCUGCUCAUCAGAUCCAUUCUGCAUAAGACAGGAGCUCCUUGGAAUGCAAUAUGACCUAACUUAAAGGAAGGAGACAUAAGGCGGGAGAGGUGGAGAAAAGAGGAAGAGAACAUAGAAGAGGA